rfam:Apaloderma vittatum contig43342, whole genome shotgun sequence.
AAAGCUCAGUCGGUUAGAGCUUGGUGCUGAUAACACCAAGGUCACGGGUUCGAUCCCCGUU